rnacentral:misc_RNA from 1 species
GAUGAAGAACGCAGCGAAAUGCGAUAAGUAAUGUGAAUUGCAGAAUCCAGUGAAUCAUCGAAUCUUUGAACGCACAUUGCGCCCGCCAGCAUUCUGGCGGGCAUGCCUGUUCGAGCGUCAUUUCAACCCUCGACCUCCCUUUGGGGAAGUCGGCGUUGGGGACCGGCAGCACACCGCCGGCCCUGAAAUGGAGUGGCGGCCCGUCCGCGGCGACCUCUGCGUAGUAAACCAACUCGCACCGGAACCCCGACGUGGCCACGCCGUAAAACACCCAACUUCUGAACGUUGACCUCGAAUCAGGUAGGACUACCCGCUGAACUUAAGCAUACAAUAAGCGGAGGA